rnacentral:rRNA from 1 species
AUUGAACGCUGGCGGCCGGCCUAACACAUGCAAGUCGAGCGAGCGGCGGACGGGUGAGUAAUGUCUGGGAAACUGCCUGAUGGAGGGGGAUAACUACUGGAAACGGUAGCUAAUACCACAUACCAUCAGCUGUGCCCAGAUGGGAUUAGCUAGUAGGUGGGGUAACGGCUCACCUAGGCGCCGAUCCCUAUCUGGUCUGAGAGGAUGACCAGCAACAGUGGAAUGGAGACACGGUCCAGACUCCUACGGAAGGAAGCAGUGGGGAAUAUUGCACAAUGGGCGCAAGCCUGAUGCGGACAUGCCGCGUGUGUGAAGAAGGCCUUAGGGUUGUAAGGCACUUUCAGCGGGGAGGCGUUACCCGCAGAAGAAGCACCGGCUAACUCCGUGCCAGCAGCCGCGGUAAUUC